GUUUAAACUUUUAGGAUUUCAAAUUUUGUGACUAUUCAUUCUCUCACCUAUCAAACAUCUCCAAAUUAUUUUCCUCUUUUUUCUCUUGUGAAACUUCUCUCAAUUCUUCGUUCUUUCUCUUUUACUCAUGUUUAUUGUUCAUUUUUAUUAUUGAGUUUCAGACAGAUUCGGUUUUGUUUUUGAUUUUGUGUUUUUUUUUCAGGUUUGGUGAUGUUGGCUUACGCGGAAGGGGAAGAUUUGCCGAUGGUGCGACUUCUGAUGGCUCCAUGUGCAGCGCCUUUGUGACCUAAAAAGGAAGUCGGAAACGAAUCGUAACCUUAUGACAAUACCAUUUGAUACUCGAAAAACUUAAUCGGGUUUUGAGAUUUAUCAGUUGGGGACUAGAACGGGAACAUCGGUUUUGGAGAUGGUUAUAUCUUUUGACUUUUGAGCAGGCUUUUGGAAGGUUUAUGUGAGUUUAUGCAGGAAAUUACAGCUUCUGUACCAACAGAUAAUUCAAAUUACAGCUUUUGACAAACUUAUGUUAGAUGCAAUUUCUUAAUUUGGGUUACGACAUACCGCAUUAUUGGAAUCAGGACUUCACUACGAGAGAACUUGCUUACAUGCUUAACUGCAUAUCCUAGAAAAAUAAUGUUCUGCCAUCUUUGGAGCUGUGUAACAUGAUCAUGCUAGCCUUUACUAAGAAGCUGCCAAAAUAACCGAACCGUGCUAAAGGCCAGUUCAAGGGAACUUCUUAGAGGACCACUGUAUUAUGCUGCAGCUAUUACUUUCACAUGCAUAAUGUAUUGGAGAACUUUGCCAGUUUUGAUUGCUGCAGUCGUAUGGCUGACGUUGUCGGAAGGAGAUUUGGUAGUACAAAAAAUACCUUACAACAAAAACAAGUCCAAAGCUAGAUCAAUUGCAAUGGCAUCUCCUGGAUUCUUAGCUUAUAUUGGAGAUUACUUGUGCAAGACCAGAAAUAAUAAUCUUCUUGCCGGACAGAGAUGCCGAGUGGCCGUUUCCCUGAUUUGAAUUUGCAGCCAGGUUCUUCUUAUUGACAAUGUUAAAUAUUUUGUCAAAAUAGUCAUAAAGGAUGUCUCAACAUUAAUUGCUUCCUGUGCAGAGGUCUCUAAGAAAAAUAAACCUUUUUUCUCAGCAAACUCUUUUGCAUCCUCUGUCGGUACCACAUGCUGGUCCUCAAGAUCACUUUUGUUUCCUAUAAGAAUGAUGUCUAUGUUCUUGUCAGCAUGAUUAUGUUGUUCUUCUAACCAUAGGUAUGUGAUCAAAGCUCGGACGUUUGGUAAUGUCAUAAACCAACAUUGCCUCAACAGCACCCCUGUAGUAUGCAAUUGUAACUGCUCUAUAUCUAUAGAAAAUUCCAUUUAAAUAUAUAUCAGGAAAAUUGCAAUCAAUAUUCAAUGUACUUGUAAUGAUAUGAGGUUAUAGAUGUCAAUUUCUUCUUGAUUUUGAGCAACACGUCAAGCAUGGGUUAGUCGGUGUUACGCCAGAUAAGCAUCCUUUAGGUGGUCAAGAUGUAGAUGUUUCAUCUCUGGGAUGGGCGAUAUCGGCAUUCUCAUCUAGAGAUAGAAGUUUGUCUCAUUUUCUUUUUAGUUGUUAGCUUAUGGUUGUUAUUCAUUCAUUUUCUAGAAAAAGAAAAUAGAUAGAAACAAGAUAUGACACGACCAAAGGCAUUUUGCAUGAAGCAUUUUAAAGCCCAAGUUCUUCCUUUUUUUUCAUCGAUUAUCUUAAGGUAGCACUGUAAAUUUAGUUCUUCAUUAUCUAAAAGUAUCAUUUUGUUAAGAGUUAUUAGUUCUUGAAACUUUACCAUCACUAUUAUUAGUUUAUUAUGACCCUUAUAUUUUGUCAACAGUUUAAAUUAAAUUCAGAGAUUAUAGCAGCAUGUAUCCAUGUCCUAUUGACAUUGGCCAUUGUUGUUCAUACUUACUCUUACAGUCUUAUCGAUGUGCGUCUUUAUUGUCCUUUUCUGCAAAAUAUUGCAUGAAUCAUUUAUCAGUUUUGCAUGUAAUUCUAAUUUUGAGAGCUGGUCUUGCUCUUGCUGAACAUUCAUCAUCAAUCUUGCCUGCUACAUAAACAUAUCAUUUAGGUUUGUCUCAAAAUGAAGAAUGGAACUUUGAACUAUUUCAAAGGAAUAAUGCUCAUUCUUUGAUAUUUUAUAGUUUUUGCAUUAGGUGCAGGCUAUCAAGGCAUGCUACUAAGUAUCAGGAUGUUUUGGAGCUAUUAGAUCUCUCUCCAAGUCAUAGGGAAUGGUUCAAGAUAUGUGUUACUUCAACAAAGAGUUUCUGGGCCAUAGUAACGCAAGGGCUCUUUCUUAGUUUAACAUGUAUCUUGAUAAUAAUAGGGAUAUAAUUUUCUUGCUCUCAAAACCUUUACUAAAUUGAUGAUUAAUAAAGUGGAUUUCCUUGCUAUCAGAAUUCGUAUUAGUUUUCUUAAGCUUGAACACACAAAUUAGGCUUUAGUAAUAAUAUUUAUACCGAAUGAUGCUGCAACAAGUUUUGAAUUAUGUUUUUCACUUACUGCCGGACACAGUUCAUGUUGUGGAGUCUAAGCCUGCCAAAAGAUAUGGAGAUUACUUCCUGCGUCAGGUGGUUAAGCUUGAAGGAGUGAUCAAUGAGAUGGACAAUAUAAAGGUAGAGUGAGUUGAUACAUUUCACACCCUUGCUGGUUGCUCUUUCCAAUAUGCUUUGCCGCCAAAAUUUUGUUCAUUUCCCUUUGAAAUGGAAGGAUGUAGUUAGCUUCCUACAUGUGAUACUAAAUACUAAUUAUUAAAGUUUAUUUUAUUUAGAGAACUAAUUUAUGUUUUCAAA